rnacentral:rRNA from 1 species
AACUUCCUAACAGCUAGCCCCACCCCAAAAACAACAAACCCUAUUAAUAACCCCUCACCUACUAUACAGAAUAUAACAAAUCAUUUUUCCUCCCAAGUAUGGGCGACAGAAAAG